rnacentral:rRNA from 1 species
AUUGAACGCUGGCGGCAGGCCUAACACAUGCAAGUCGAGCGGAAACGAGUUAUCUGAACCUUCGGGGAACGAUAACGGCGUCGAGCGGCGGACGGGUGAGUAAUGCCUAGGAAAUUGCCCUGAUGUGGGGGAUAACCAUUGGAAACGAUGGCUAAUACCGCACGAUGCCUACGGGCCAAAGAGGGGGACCUUCGGGCCUCUCGCGUCAGGAUAUGCCUAGGUGGGAUUAGCUAGUUGGUGAGGUAAGGGCUCACCAAGGCGACGAUCCCUAGCUGGUCUGAGAGGAUGAUCAGCCACACUGGAACUGAGACACGGUCCAGACUCCUACGGGAGGCAGCAGUGGGGAAUAUUGCACAAUGGGCGCAAGCCUGAUGCAGCCAUGCCGCGUGUAUGAAGAAGGCCUUCGGGUUGUAAAGUACUUUCAGUCGUGAGGAAGGCGGCGUCGUUAAUAGCGGCGUUGUUUGACGUUAGCAACAGAAGAAGCACCGGCUAACUCCGUGCCAGCAGCCGCGGUAAUACGGAGGGUGCGAGCGUUAAUCGGAAUUACUGGGCGUAAAGCGCAUGCAGGUGGUUUGUUAAGUCAGAUGUGAAAGCCCGGGGCUCAACCUCGGAAUAGCAUUUGAAACUGGCAGACUAGAGUACUGUAGAGGGGGGUAGAAUUUCAGGUGUAGCGGUGAAAUGCGUAGAGAUCUGAAGGAAUACCGGUGGCGAAGGCGGCCCCCUGGACAGAUACUGACACUCAGAUGCGAAAGCGUGGGGAGCAAACAGG